UGGUGCAAAAGUAAUUGUGGUUUUUGCCAUUGAGAGUAAUGACAAAAUCCGCAAUUACUUUUGUACCAACCUAAU
rnacentral:miRNA from 1 species